CUGGUUGAUUCUGCCAGUAACAUAUGCUUGUCUGAAAGAUUUAAGCCAUGCAUGUCUAAGUAUAAACGACAUUAUAUAGUGAAACUGCGGACGGCUCAUUAUAUCAGUUAUAGUUUACGUGAUGGUCCAGUCUAUUUAUCUUCUUUGUCAAAGGAGGAGAGGAGUAGAUUUCUUGGAUAACUGUUGGAAUUCUAGAGCUAAUACAUGAAGCACACGCCCACCUUUACAAGGACGGGCCGGGUUAAUCCGCACCAUUUUGGUGAGUCAGGACUAACGAACGGAUCGCAUGCGCAAGCGGCGACACAUCAUUCAAGUUUCUGCCCUAUCAGCUUUCGAUGGUACAGUCUUGGUCUACCAUGGCGAUGACGGGUGACGGAGAAUCAGGGUUUGAUUCCGGAGAGGGAGCCUGAGAAACGGCUACCACAUCCAAGGAAGGCAGCAGGCGCGCAAAUUACCCAGUCCUGACACAGGGAGGUAGUGACAAAAAAUAACAAUACCUGGCCUUUUUAGGUCGGGUAAUUGGAAUGAGUACAAUUUAAAUCCCUUAACGAGGAUCAAUUGGAGGGCAAGUCUGGUGCCAGCAGCCGCGGUAAU
rnacentral:rRNA from 1 species